UCUGAUUUCCACCAAAAAGAGUUCUCGUAUGCAAUUUCCUCCCCAACUCCAAUCUCCAUAGCAGCAACAGCAACAACAACAACAACAAUGGCGUCAUCUUCAAUUCCAAGCCUUCUGCUUCUCCUCUUUCUCCUCGUUUCUCCUCUCUCUAUCUCUGUCUCCGCUCGACCCUGCAAAACCCUCUUUAUCUCUUCCUACACCUUUUCAAUCAAGCCUCUUUACCCUAACCCUAACCCUUCCUCCGCUGGAUUCGUCACGAUCGUCACCGAAAUCAGCCAACAACGCUCCUACUCCUCCGAUGUCUUCCUCGAUGGCAAGAUUUUCCGUUCUA
rnacentral:lncRNA from 1 species